rnacentral:rRNA from 1 species
CCUACGGGUGGCAGCAGUGGGGAAUAUUGCACAAUGGGCGCAAGCCUGAUGCAGCCAUGCCGCGUGUGUGAAGAAGGCCUUCGGGUUGUAAAGCACUUUCAGCGGGGAGGAAGGCGUUAAGGUUAAUAACCUUGUCGAUUGACGUUACCCGCAGAAGAAGCACCGGCUAACUCCGUGCCAGCAGCCGCGGUAAUACGGAGGGUGCAAGCGUUAAUCGGAAUUACUGGGCGUAAAGCGCACGCAGGCGGUCUGUCAAGUCGGAUGUGAAAUCCCCGGGCUCAACCUGGGAACUGCAUUCGAAACUGGCAGGCUAGAGGCUUGUAGAGGGGGUAGAAUUCCAGGUGUAGCGGCGAAAUGCGUAGAGAUCUGGAGGAAUACCGGUGGCGAAGGCGGCCCCCUGGACAAAGACUGACGCUCAGGUGCGAAAGCGUGGGGAGCAAACAGGAUUAGAUACCCCAGUAGUC